AUGCCUUGCACAGCCUUUCACGUGCAUCCUUUGCCCCCCUGCCAGGACAGCAAGUUUGCUUUUUCCUGGAGCCCCUUCAGCCCUGGGAUGCCAGAGAGGAUGCCAGAAGGAGAAAAUGCCUCAGUGACAUAAAUCUUAUUUGGUGGAGCCAGCAUCAUCAGAUAAAAAACAGAUAAGAUCAAACCUUGCCUUUAAAUUCCAGAUCUCCUGGCUUGAGAAAAUAUGGAGAUCAGAUUACGGUGUAACUUUCAAUGGGCUUCAGAGAUUUCUGCCCAAGUGGGAUGGUAAAAAAUGUAGAUCCUUCAAGAUCCUGGAAGGAACAGAUAUGCCGUAUUUGUGCAGUAGUCAGCCGUUUCUGAUAAGGAACAGAGGAUAUUCAGGUCUGAUUGCUGAUGUUUUCCACAUAAAAGCUGUGUUCUCCUUCAGGAAAAGGACUCGAGUCUCCUCAGCAAACAUUAAAGCCAGCCCUUACACCCAGCCUAACUCUCCUUGUCGGCUUUGAUCCAAAACAUUCUUCUAAGCAGGAGAAGGCUGGGGAAGGGAGAGGGGAAGGGACCAGGGGGAAGACUGAAUAAGGGAGCCAAGAGGCUGCUCUGGAAAAUCACUGCUGAAGUUACAGGAGGGGAAUUAAUCUUGAGAGGCCUCAUGUAACAGUUCCAUCCAUCAAACGUGACACUGGUACCAUUAUUAGAGAAGACGGAAAAUUAAAUUGCAAAAUUA